UUCAGUUGCUUAUUUCUCCCUAUUGCAAUUGCCCCUUUUACACAUAUUAGGCAUACUAUAAAAAGGGAGUGUGUGGAGUGAUAAAGUGUUCCAUAUCCAAUUCAACUUAUCUUUCGUUUCCUGUGUUUUUAGUUGCAGAUUACCUUUAACUAUGGUAGCACUAAUUUCUUCGUGAGUUUUUUGGUUAUAGGUUCUGCGAGGAUGAAUCACAUUGAAGAAUUUAGGUUGUAAAGAAAGAUAGAUAGUGCCUUAGGGAGACAUGGCCUUUAAUUGUUAGAAGAGAAUAGUAGCAUAAGAAGAAUGUUGCAGCAGAAGAAAAAUAUUUUGCAUAUCAUUUUUGUUUGGGCGUGUAUUGGAUAUACUAUUACUGGAACUCUAUUCAUUGAUGUACCAUUGUUGAUUCUGCAUCUGAUUUCUCAUUACAAAGUAGUACAAAGUUAUUCAAGCUACAUGUUAUCGUUUGUUGGCAGAACUAUGUGAAUCUGGUGUAUCCUUUUUCUCUUCUUUUGUGUGAAUUUAAAGUUUGAUAACAUGAACUAUGGUAUGUGACCAGUGAAAUGUGCUAUUUACCAAUAUGCUCUCAUUCUUAUGUUGCUUAUAUUAUCAGUAAUUAAUUCAUGGGUUUUACAAAAGAUCUUAUCUAAGGGGUCCUCCACACAUAAAUCUUCUCAUUAUCCCAACCUAGAGUACUUAAAAAAAAUUUGAUGUUAAAAUUA